GCUUAGCUCAGUUGGUAGAGUGCCGGACUGCAGAGCGGGAGGUUGCGGGUUCGAGUCCCAGCCGGACCA